GAGUUUGAUCCUGGCUCAGAUUGAACGCUGGCGGCAUGCUUUACACAUGCAAGUCGAACGGCAGCACGGGGGCAACCCUGGUGGCGAGUGGCGAACGGGUGAGUAAUAUAUCGGAACAUAUCCGGAAGUGGGGGAUAACGUACCGAAAGGUACGCUAAUACCGCAUAUGCCCUUAGGGGGAAAGGGGGGGAUCGCAAGACCUCUCGCUUUCGGAGUGGCCGAUAUCGGAUUAGCUAGUUGGUGAGGUAAAGGCUCACCAAGGCGACGAUCCGUAGCUGGUCUGAGAGGACGACCAGCCACACUGGAACUGAGACACGGUCCAGACUCCUACGGGAGGCAGCAGUGGGGAAUUUUGGACAAUGGGCGAAAGCCUGAUCCAGCCAUGCCGCGUGAGUGAAGAGGG
rnacentral:rRNA from 1 species